rnacentral:rRNA from 1 species
GGCAGACUAAUACCGCAUAGUCUUCGAUGACGGCAUCAGAUUUGAAGUAAAGAUUUAUCGGUAAUGGAUGGGGAUGCGUCUGAUUAGCUUGUUGGCGGGGUAACGGCCCACCAAGGCUACGAUCAGUAGGGGUUCUGAGAGGAAGGUCCCCCACAUUGGAACUGAGACACGGUCCAAACUCCUACGGGAGGCAGCAGUGAGGAAUAUUGGUCAAUGGACGGAAGUCUGAACCAGCCAAGUAGCGUGCAGGAUGACGGCCCUAUGGGUUGUAAACUGCUUUUGUAUGGGGAUAAAGUUAGGGACGUGUCCCUAUUUGCAGGUACCAUACGAAUAAGGACCGGCUAAUUCCGUGCCAGCAGCCGCGGUAAUACGGAAGGUCCAGGCGUUAUCCGGAUUUAUUGGGUUUAAAGGGAGCGUAGGCUGGAGAUUAAGUGUGUUGUGAAAUGUAGACGCUCAACGUCUGAAUUGCAGCGCAUACUGGUUUCCUUGAGUACGCACAACGUUGGCGGAAUUCGUCGUGUAGCGGUGAAAUGCUUAGAUAUGACGAAGAACUCCGAUUGCGAAGGCAGCUGACGGGAGCGCAACUGACGCUUAAGCUCGAAGGUGCGGGUAUCAAACAGGAUUAGAUACCCUGGUAGUCCGCACAGUAAACGAUGGAUGCCCGCUGUUGGUACCUGGUAUCAGCGGCUAAGCGAAAGCAU